rnacentral:rRNA from 1 species
UGGGGAAUAUUGGACAAUGGGGGCAACCCUGAUCCAGCAAUGCCGCGUGUGUGAAGAAGGCCUGCGGGUUGUAAAGCACUUUCAGUAGAGAAGAAAAGCUCAUGGUUAAUACCCGUGAGUCUUGACGGUACCUCCAGAAGAAGCCCCGGCCAACUACGUGCCAGCAGCCGCGGUAAUACGUAGGGGGCAAGCGUUGUCCGGAAUUAUUGGGCGUAAAGAGCUCGUAGGCGGCUUGGUAAGUCGGCCGUGAAAACCAAAGGCUCAACCUUUGGAUGUCGGUCGAUACUGCCAUGGCUGGAGUCCGGUAGAGGAGAGUGGAAUUCCCGGUGUAGCGGUGAAAUGCGCAGAUAUCGGGAGGAACACCAGUAGCGAAGGCGGCUCUCUGGGCCGGAACUGACGCUGAGGAGCGAAAGCGUGGGUAGCAAACAGGAUUAGAUACCCCCGUAGUCC